rnacentral:tRNA from 1 species
GCGCAAGUGGUUUAGUGGUAAAAUCCAACGUUGCCAUCGUUGGGCCCCCGGUUCGAUUCCGGGCUUGCGGA